GACGAACGCUGGCGGCGUGCUUAACACAUGCAAGUCGAACGAUGAACUUGGAGCUUACUCUGGGGGAUUAGUGGCGAACGGGUGAGUAACACGUGAGUAACCUGCCCUGGACUCUGGGAUAACUUCGAGAAAUCGGAGCUAAUACCGGAUAGGACCUUGCACCGCAUGGUGUGGGGUGGAAAGUUUUUCGGUUUGGGAUGGACUCGCGGCCUAUCAGCUUGUUGGUGAGGUAAUGGCUCACCAAGGCGUCGACGGGUAGCCGGCCUGAGAGGGUGACCGGCCACACUGGGACUGAGACACGGCCCAGACUCCUACGGGAGGCAGCAGUGGGGAAUAUUGCACAAUGGGCGCAAGCCUGAUGCAGCAACGCCGCGUGCGGGAUGACGGCCUUCGGGUUGUAAACCGCUUUUAGUAGGGAAGAAGCCUUCAGGCGACGGUACCUGCAGAAAAAGGACCGGCUAACUACGUGCCAGCAGCCGCCGUAAGAC
rnacentral:rRNA from 1 species